rnacentral:tRNA from 1 species
AAUUAGGUAGUUUAAAAAAAACGUAAGUCUUGUAAAUUUAUAAUGAGUUUUCCCUAAAAA